AACGAACGCUGGCGGCAGGCCUAACACAUGCAAGUCGAGCGCUCACCUUCGGGUGGGAGCGGCGCACGGGUGAGUAACACGUGGGAACCUACCUUGAAGUACGGAAUAACUGAGGGAAACUUCAGCUAAUACCGUAUACGCCCUACGGGGGAAAGAUUUAUCGCUUCAAGACGGGCCCGCGUUGGAUUAGCUAGUUGGUGAGGUAACGGCUCACCAAGGCAACGAUCCAUAGCUGAUUUGAGAGAAUGAUCAGCCACACUGGGACUGAGACACGGCCCAGACUCCUACGGGAGGCAGCAGUGGGGAAUAUUGGACAAUGGGCGCAAGCCUGAUCCAGCCAUGCCGCGUGAGUGAUGAAGGCCUUCGGGUAGUAAAGCUCUUUCAGAUGGGACGAUGAUGACGGUACCAUCAGAAGAAGCCCCGGCUAACUUCGUGCCAGCCGCCGCAGUAAAAC
rnacentral:rRNA from 1 species